UGGGGUAUGAACCCAGUAGCUUAAUUUAGCUUAUUUUUAA
rnacentral:tRNA from 2 species